GACCAUAGCUCAGUGGUAGAGCAUCUGCUUUGCAUACAGAAGGUCCUAGGUUCAGCCUCCAUCAUCUCUGGGUAGGACU